UGGAUAGUAGCUUGUUGAUGUUGCAUAUAAUAGAAAGAAAAACAAAAUAAAAUAUCUUAAUUCUCUAGCUUAAAUAACCCUUGGCCGAUAUCCACCUUCCUAGAUACUCUAGGAUCGCUUAGCCAACUUUUAAAGUCAUUUAGAUGCUAGAAAAUCUUAUAUGAAUAGGAAUUUAAUUGUUGAAGUCUUCUUUCCUUGUAUAUGAAUAGGAAUUUAAUUGUUG
rnacentral:lncRNA from 1 species